rnacentral:rRNA from 1 species
AAAAUCUAGCCCACUUUAAUUUAAUACAAUUAACAAAAAUCAAUAAAAUAAACCAUUCAUAACUAAAGUAUAGGAGAUAGAAAUUUUAUAUUUGGCGCUAUAGAGACAGUACCGUAAGGGAAAGAUGAAAGAUAACUUUAAGUAAAUGAAAGCAAAGAUUAAACCUUGUACCUUUUGCAUAAUGAAUUAACUAGAAUAUGCCUAGCAUAAAGCAAUUAAAGUUAGCUACCCCGAAACCAGACGAGCUACAUAUGAGCAGCUAACUUGAGCCAACCCGUCUGUGUAGCAAAACAGUGGGAAGACUUAUAUGUAGAGGUGAAAAGCCUAUCGAGCCUGGAGAUAGCUGGUUACCCAAGUAAGAAUUUCAGUUCAACUUUAAUCUUACCUAAAGAAUAAAGAAUCCACUUGUAAGAUUAAAUUAUAUUCUAAAGAGGGACAGCUCUUUAGAUAAGGAAAUAACCUGAUUUAGAGAGUAAAUUAUUACUUCAUACCACAGUUGGCUUAAGAGCAGCCAUCAGUUAAGAAAGCGUUCAAGCUCAACAUAUCCAUUCUUCUUAAUUUUAAUAGACUAGUUCAACUCCUAUAUCCUCAAUUGGGUUAAUCUAUUACAUAAUAGAAGCAAUAAUGUUAAUAUGAGUAACAAGAAAAAUUUUCUCCUAGCAUAAACUUAUAUCAAUUCUAAUAUCAUUGAUAGUUAACAUUAUAAUAUUAUUAUAUAAACUAAUAAUCAUAUUUAUUAUUAUGUUAAUCCAACACAGGAAUGCACCACUCAAGGAAAGAUUAAAAGAAGUAAAAGGAACUCGGCAAA